rnacentral:rRNA from 1 species
AUUGAACGCUGGCGGCAUGCCUAACACAUGCAAGUCGAGCGGCUGCGGGGGGCUUGCUCUUGGGUUCAGCGGCGGACGGGUGAGUAAUGCCUCGGAAUCUGCCUGGUCGUGGGGGAUAACGUCCCGAAACCUGCGCUAAUACCGCAUACGUCCUGCGGGUGAAAGUGGGGGAUCUUCGGACCUCGCGCUAUCAGAUGAGCCUAUGUCGGAUUAGCUAGUUGGUGGGGUAAAGGCCUACCAAGCCUACGAUCCGUAACUGGUCUGAGAGGAUGAUCAGCCACACUGGGACUGAGACACGGCCCAGACUCCUACGGGAGGCAGCAGUGGGGAAUAUUGGACAAUGGGCGAAAGCCUGAUCCAGCCAUGCCGCGUGUGGGAAGAAGGUCUUCGGAUUGUAAAGUACUUUAAGAUGGGAGGAAGCGGUGUAAGCUAAUAACGAGCUGUAUUGACGGUACCAUAAGAAUAAGCACCGGCUAACUUCGUG